rnacentral:rRNA from 1 species
CCUACGGGAGUCAGCAGUGAGGAAUAUUGGUCAAUGGGCGGGAGCCUGAACCAGCCAAGCCGCGUGAGGGAAGACGGUCCAGCGUAUUGUAAACCUCUUUUGUCAGGGAACAAAGGCGGGGACUAGUCCCCGGAUGCGGGUACCUGAAGAAAAAGCAUCGGCUAACUCCGUGCCAGCAGCCGCGGUACGACGGAGGAUGCGAGCGUUAUCCGGCUUUAUUGGGUUUAAGGGGUGCGCAGGCGGCCUGUUAAGUCAGCGGUACAAGCCCGGGGCUAAACCCCGGCGAGCCGUUGAAACUGGCAGGCUGGAGUUGAAGAGAGGUACGCGGAAUGCGCGGUGUAGCGGUGAAAUGCUUAGAUAUCGCGCAGAACCCCGAUUGCGAAGGCAGCGUACCGGCUCCACACUGACGCUGAGGCACGAAAGCGUGGGUAUCGAACAGGAUUAGAUACCCCAGUAGUC